rnacentral:rRNA from 1 species
GAUGAACGCUAGCGGUGGGCCUAAUACAUGCAAGUCGAGCGAACAGAUAAGGAGCUUGCUCCUUUUACGUUAGCGGCGGACGGGUGAGUAAGUCGUGGGUAACCUACCUAUAAAACAGUGAUAACUUCGGGAACCCGGAGCUAAUACCUGCUAUCAGUUGGAACCUCAUGUUUCUAGAUUAAAAGAUGGUUUUGCUCUCACUUAUAGAGGGACGCGCGCAGUUGUAGCUAGUUGGUAAGGUAACGGCAUACCAAGGCAACGAUAAGUAGCCGAACUGAGAGGGUGAUCGGCCACACUGGAACUGAGACACGGUCCAGACUCAUACGGGAGGGAGAAGUAGGAGAUAGUCAGAAAUGGGAGUAAGCCUGAGGGUGAACCAGCGAGUGAGUGAGGAGGAGUUUCGCCUCAUAAAAUUCAGUUAUUAGGGAAGAACAAACAUGUAAGUAAAUGUGCACGUCUUGACGGUAACUAAACAGAUAGGCACGGGUAAAUACGUG